rnacentral:rRNA from 1 species
UACGAAGGGGGCAAGCGUUGUUCGGAAUUACUGGGCGUAAAGGGCGCGUAGGCGGCUUAUCAAGUCAGGCGUGAAAUUCCCGGGCUCAACCUGGGGGCUGCGCUUGAUACUGAUUGGCUUGAAUGCGGGAGAGGAUAGUGGAAUUCCCAGUGUAGAGGUGAAAUUCGUAGAUAUUGGGAAGAACACCGGUGGCGAAGGCGGCUAUCUGGCCCGUAAUUGAUGCUGAGGCGCGAAAGCGUGGGGAGCAAACAGG